rnacentral:miRNA from 1 species
AGCCACCGUGGCCCUUCCAGCU